AGAGAGAGAGAGAGAGAGAGAGAGAGAGAGCUAGGCUCCUUGCUUUCGAAUGUACGAAGACAUCCGUGCUUGUAAGUUGUUCUUAAUAAUGAAACAUCCGAUUCGGCAAUCGGUUUCGUUAAACAUAAUCUACGCUAUUGGAGCUAUCGAAAAACCAAAUUUCAUAAUAUUUUGACUUCGUUUGUCUAGUGAACGAGUAGUCUCAAAAUAAACGGCUGAAAAUGAAAAUUUCAUAAAAAAUAAUAAUGAAUGACUCAAAUUUUAAAUUGGAAGUAUUGAUCUUGUGCUAUUGAUAUUAAGUAGAAUUUUUUAUUAAAUUUUUAUGUAAUUUGGAUACUUCUAUACCGUUGAACUUAAAAAUGUGUCACAUCAGCCGUUAAAAAAGUCAUUUUUGAAACCUUUUGAUAGCUUGGUAAAUUAUGUCAAAAAAUUAUAAAAUUUGGUUUCUAAAUAGUUUCAAUAUGGUAGAUUAUACUUAACGGAGCCGAUCGUCGAAUCGGAUAUCCUAUCAUCAAAAAGAACUUAUAAGCACGAGGUCUCUGUACUUUCGAAAGUACAGAAGACGUACUCAUAUAGAGCUAUAUAUAUAUAUAUAUAGAGAGAGAGAGAGAGAGAGAGAGAGAGAGAGAGAGAGAGAGAGAGAGAGAGCUAGGCUCCUUGCUUUCGAAUGUACGAAGACAUCCGUGCUUGUAAGUUGUUCUUAAUAAUGAAACAUCCGAUUCGGCAAUCGGUUUCGUUAAACAUAAUCUACGCUAUUGGAGCUAUCGAAAAACCAAAUUUCAUAAUAUUUUGACUUCGUUUGUCUAGUGAACGAGUAGUCUCAAAAUAAACGGCUGAAAAUGAAAAUUUCAUAAAAAAUAAUAAUGAAUGACUCAAAUUUUAAAUUGGAAGUAUUGAUCUUGUGCUAUUGAUAUUAAGUAGAAUUUUUUAUUAAAUUUUUAUGUAAUUUGGAUACUUCUAUACCGUUGAACUUAAAAAUGUGUCACAUCAGCCGUUAAAAAAGUCAUUUUUGAAACCUUUUGAUAGCUUGGUAAAUUAUGUCAAAAAAUUAUAAAAUUUGGUUUCUAAAUAGUUUCAAUAUGGUAGAUUAUACUUAACGGAGCCGAUCGUCGAAUCGGAUAUCCUAUCAUCAAAAAGAACUUAUAAGCACGAGGUCUCUGUACUUUCGAAAGUACAGAAGACGUACUCAUAUAGAGCUAUAUAUAUAUAUAUAUAGAGAGAGAGAGAGAGAGAGAGAGAGAGAAGAGCUGGUAUACUAUCGGUAGCGCGGAGGCCUAUAUACUACUAAGUUAUUUUCGAUGAUGUAGCUUCCAAAUCGACAAUCGGCUUCAUUAAACUUGAUCUACACUAUUGAACGUAUUUGGAAACUAAAUUUCAUAAUUUUUCGACAUCAUUUAUUUAUCAAAUGAGUAGUCUAAAAAUAUAUGACUGAAAAUAAAAAUCUUAUAAAAAAUUAUGAUAAAAGAUUUGAAUUUAAAAUCAGAUGUACUGAUCUUAUUCUAAAUAGUAAAAAAAAAAAUCUAUAAAAAUUUCAUCAAAUUUUGAUUGUUUUACACCGUUAAAUUUCCAAAUGCAUCACAUCGGUCAUUAAAAUUAUCAUUUUUGAGACCUUUUAAUCACUAGUCAAAUAAUGUCGAAAAUUAUGAAAUUUAAUUUUCAAAUAUUUUUAAUAGUGUAGAUCAAAUCUAACGGAGUCGAUCGUUGAUUUGAAAGUCGCAGUAUCGAAAACAACUUAAUAACACGGAGAUUUCCGUGCUACUGACAGUAUAUCAACCUAGUUAU
rnacentral:lncRNA from 1 species